CUCUGUAAGUGCAUGUAAGUGCAGACCAUGCAUAACGACUUUUUUUUUUUUCCCCAAAAAGUACUUCAUGGAAAGAAAAACAGUAACUUUACAAAUACUAUCUCAAGCCAGGUGAUCAAGGUUAACAUCAACAGUGAUAAGUCAUAAUGAUAGUAUGUACCCUUCAAAUUAUAUGAUGAGAAUGCCAUCUUACCUCUCUGUCUUCCUCCCAAAAACAUAUUAACCAUGAGGAAAACAUCAAAUUCCAGUUAAAGGAGAUUCUACAAAAUAGGCCUGACCAGUAAUCUUCAAAAUUGUGAAGAUCACCAAAAUUGUCAAGAUCACCAAAAAUCUGAAAAACAGUCACAGUCCAGGGGAGCCUAAGGAGGAUAAGAACUAAAUGUGGUCCCAGACAAGAUCCUGGAACAGAAAAUGAACACUAAGGGAAAACUAAGGAAAUAUGAACAACUGUAGCAGCUGAUGUCACAAAGCCUGGCUGAGGACCAAAGAGAAACAGGUUCGUUUGGAAGUUCGUAUCUGAGCAGACUGGCUCAACCAGAAGUCCAGAAAAGUGUGGACCAGCUUCAACAGGACAGCACUAACACAGACUACUGCAGUCUCUGCACAGAGAGGCCUAAAGGAGAGGUCACAGCAGUACUCUGCAGGUAACACUCCAUUUCCAACGAGCAGAGAAUCCCAAAGGAGGUGAUUUAGUGAUGAUCUCCAUCAGCCCUAGAGAGGGAUCGUCGUGGUCAGGAGACCCAGUUUUAGAGCCCGAAUCCUGGCCAUUCAUUGCCUAUGUGACCAGGUUACUGAAUCUCCUCUUCAUAAAGUAAUUAUGAGGAUUCAGUGAGUUGCUACAGGCAAAACGCUUAGAACAGCGCCUGUUAUAUAACAACUAACAUCAAUGUAGACUUGCUAUUUUCACUGGUAUUUUUUUUUUUU
rnacentral:lncRNA from 10 species